rnacentral:rRNA from 1 species
CCUACGGGAGGCAGCAGUGGGGAAUAUUGGGCAAUGGACGCAAGUCUGACCCAGCAACGCCGCGUGAAGGAAGAAGGCUUUCGGGUUGUAAACUUCUGUCAAGGGGGAAGAGCAGUAGAUGGUAUCCUCUGAAUAAGCUACGGCUAACUACGUGCGAGCAGCCGCGGUAAUACGUAGGUGGCAACCGUUGUCCGGAUUUACUGGGUGUAAUGGGCGUGCAGUCGGAGAGACAAGUCAGACGUGAAAUCCACGGGCUCAACCCGUGAACUGCCUUUGAAACUGUUUCCCUUGAGUGUCGGAGAGGUGAUCGGAAUUCCAGGUGUAGCAGUGAAAUGCGUAGAUAUUAGGAGGAACACCAGUGGCGAAGGCGAAUUACUGGACGAUAACUGACGGUGAGGCGCGAAAGCGUGGGGAGCAAACAGGAUUAGAUACCCGGGUAGUC